rnacentral:rRNA from 1 species
GACGAACGCUGGCGGCGUGCUUAACACAUGCAAGUCGAACGGAAAGGCCCUGCUUUUGUGGGGUGCUCGAGUGGCGAACGGGUGAGUAACACGUGAGUAACCUGCCCUUGACUUUGGGAUAACUUCAGGAAACUGGGGCUAAUACCGGAUAGGAGCUCCUGCUGCAUGGUGGGGGUUGGAAAGUUUCGGCGGUUGGGGAUGGACUCGCGGCUUAUCAGCUUGUUGGUGGGGUAGUGGCUUACCAAGGCUUUGACGGGUAGCCGGCCUGAGAGGGUGACCGGCCACAUUGGGACUGAGAUACGGCGCAGACUGCUACCGGAGGCAGCAGUCGGGAAUAUUGCACAAUGGGCGGAAGCCUGAUGCAGCAACGCUGCGUGCGGGAUGACGGCCUUCGGGUUGUAAACCGCUUUCGCCUGUGACGAAGCGUGAGUGACGGUAAUGGGUAAAGAAGCACCGGCUAACUACGUG